rnacentral:tRNA from 1 species
GGAUUAUGGCUCAAGGGUAGAGCACUCGCCUAGCAUGUGCGGAGGCCUUGGGUUCGAUCCUCAGCACCA